rnacentral:rRNA from 1 species
UGGGGAAUCUUGCACAAUGCGCGAAAGCGUGAUGCAGCAACGCCGCGUGGGGGAAGAAGGCCUUCGGGUUGUAAACCCCUUUCAGUUGGGACGAAGCUUCGCCGGUGAAUAGCCGGCUGGAGUGACGGUACCUUCACAAGAAGCCCCGGCUAACUACGUGCCAGCAGCCGCGGUAAUACGUAGGGGGCAAGCGUUGUCCGGAAUCAUUGGGCGUAAAGCGCGUGUAGGCGGCCCGGUAAGUCCGCUGUGAAAGUCAAGGGCUCAACCCUUGGAUGCCGGUGGAUACUGUCGGGCUAGAGUGCGGGAGAGGCGAGUGGAAUUCCUGGUGUAGCGGUGAAAUGCGCAGAUAUCAGGAGGAACACCGAUUGCGAAGGCAGCUCGCUGGAACGUUACUGACGCUGAGACGCGAAAGCGUGGGGAGC